rnacentral:ncRNA from 1 species
ACGAGCCACAUGCAGGGAAACUUGCACGUGUGGUUCUGGCCGGGCUUAGUUGGUCUUUUCGGAUGAUCAGCCACAC